rnacentral:rRNA from 1 species
GACGAACGCUGUUGGCGCGCUUAACACAUGCAAGUCGAACGGAAAGGCCCUGCUUUUGUGGGGUGCUCGAGUGGCGAACGGGUGAGUAACACGUGAGUAACCUGCCCUUGACUUUGGGAUAACUUCAGGAAACUGGGGCUAAUACCGGAUAGGAGCUCCUGCUGCAUGGUGGGGGUUGGAAAGUUUCGGCGGUUGGGGAUGGACUCGCGGCUUAUCAGCUUGUUGGUGGGGUAGUGGCUUACCAAGGCUUUGACGGGUAGCCGGCCUGAGAGGGUGACCGGCCACAUUGGGACUGAGAUACGGCCCAGACUCCUACGGGAGGCAGCAGUGGGGAAUAUUGCACAAUGGGCGGAAGCCUGAUGCAGCAACGCCGCGUGCGGGAUGACGGCCUUCGGGUUGUAAACCGCUUUCGCCUGUGACGAAGCGUGAGUGACGGUAAUGGGUAAAGAAGCACCGGCUAACUACGUGCCAGCAGCCGCGGUGAUACGUAGGGUGCGAGCGUUGUCCGGAUUUAUUGGGCGUAAAGGGCUCGUAGGUGGUUGAUCGCGUCGGAAGUGUAAUCUUGGGGCUUAACCCUGAGCGUGCUUUCGAUACGGGUUGACUUGAGGAAGGUAGGGGAGAAUGGAAUUCCUGGUGGAGCGGUGGAAUGCGCAGAUAUCAGGAGGAACACCAGUGGCGAAGGCGGUUCUCUGGGCCUUUCCUGACGCUGAGGAGCGAAAGCGUGGGGAGCGAACAGGCUUAGAUACCCUGGUAGUCCACGCUGUAAACGGUGGGUACUAGGUGUGGGGUCCAUUCCACGGGUUCCGUGCCGUAGCUAACGCUUUAAGUACCCCGCCUGGGGAGUACGGCCGCAAGGCUAAAACUCAAAGGAAUUGACGGGGCCCCGCACAAGCGGCGGAGCAUGCGGAUUAAUUCGAUGCAACGCGUAGAACCUUACCUGGGUUUGACAUGGAUCGGGAGUGCUCAGAGAUGGGUGUGCCUCUUUUGGGGUCGGUUCACAGGUGGUGCAUGGCUGUCGUCAGCUCGUGUCGUGAGAUGUUGGGUUAAGUCCCGCAACGAGCGCAACCCUUGUUCACUGUUGCCAGCACGUUAUGGUGGGGACUCAGUGGAGACCGCCGGGGUCAACUCGGAGGAAGGUGGGGAUGACGUCAAGUCAUCAUGCCCCUUAUGUCCGGGGCUUCACGCAUGCUACAAUGGCUGGUACAGAGAGUGGCGAGCCUGUGAGGGUGAGCGAAUCUCGGAAAGCCGGUCUCAGUUCGGAUUGGGGUCUGCAACUCGACCUCAUGAAGUCGGAGUCGCUAGUAAUCGCAGAUCAGCAACGCUGCGGUGAAUACGUUCCCGGG